ACUGCAGUGGCUGCAGUCGAUUCUCAGACUUCUUAAUGCCCUCAUGUUAAAGGAAAAUGAAAUUCUAGUUUAGUGAAGGUUUGCAGGAGUUUUCUGGCCACUUGGUGAUUUCUUAUAGGUAGACAGAGAAUAAAUACUUUAUAGCCUCGUCUGUCUAGGCAUCAUUUCAAUUUAGGACUGGUUUCCUGGGCAUUGAAUUAAACAAAGAUAAUGUAGCAAUACUUCCAUAGAUCUAUUUUCAGUUUAUGUAUUAUAUAAAUGUCAUUAACUUCACUUGAUUGCAUCUGAUUGUAUUUUGGAAAAUCCUGGACAUGAAUAUGUAUUUAAGUCAUUAUUGCAAAUUACAAUAAAAUCGUACAAGAGUUAAUAGAGUACUACUUGUUGCACAACAGAAGUCAUUGGAAGCGUUACUAAGUAACCUCAGCGAGAACGAGUUACAUUACCAAGAAACACUUCUGGAUCUUAUUUACUUGUUUAUCAAGUAGAACUGAUUUUUUGCAGGACAGAAAUUAGGAGCUCAUUGUAGCCUUCAUUUAAUCCCACAAAAUCCCCAUUAACAAGUGUUAAGUGCCCUUGCUAAGGGUAGAUUCUUAAGCUUAACACCUAGUUGAUAUUUGCUGUUAUCUAAAUUAUUAAAGUCAAGAUUUGCUUAAUGGUUAAGUUUUUUUGUUUUAAUCCAGCUAUGUUAGAUACUAAAGAAGGCUUCCCCACAACCCAUAUGCAUCUGCUUUGACUGGUGGUUUCUAUCAUCCUACAAAGACUGUGACUUAUUGGUGAGGGCAGCUGGACAACUCUGAGAGCAACUUAGAGAAAUCCAUCUUGGGCACACUCUAUAAAGGAGCUCCUUCUCUGCAAAUAGCACCCCAGAUAAGUGCACAAAAGCAAGAUACCCUCGUGGACCUACACGUCCUCCCGCUUUUCAACACCCUGAUGCCUGCAGCUAUGGUUGAUACUAAAGGAGGUUUUCCCACUAUCCGUAUGCAUCUUCUAUGUUUUGAAAUUGCAACUAUGGACAGUUAUGGCUAAUCCUAGUAGAUUGUCUUCCCUUCUUUUAACAUCUUGGAUGAAUUUGGGUCACACUAAUUGUUAUGUGAAGAUGGAUGUUGAAUUGUGUAGAAUUUGACAGCAGUAUCAAGAGCUGAGGAGAAGGAGAAGAUGGAAAGGAGUCUAGCAACUUAAAAAUCUCACAGCAUUCUCUGUGAGGUGACCUUUUUUCCUGUUGGUGGCUCAAUUUCUUUAGGACAUAAAGAAGAUACUGAGGCCUGUGACAGCCUGUGACAGUAUCAUCAAGUUGUAUCUGAACUUAUUGAACUGUUUCCUCCCCUUUCUUAUUCUUUAUUCACAGUUUACUUUUCAUGUGCAUAAGUUGACUCAUUUGUUUCCUGUUAGCAUUUGAAACACCAUAUAGCCACCAUAAGUCCUGACAAAAUGACUUCUAAUGAGGAGGGGGAAGGUCCACGUCCCACCUUCCUAUGAAAUUUUGGCCUAUUCACAAAUCUACCCCCACAUAAGAGAAGUAGUUAUGUUCUGUAAAGAAGAGGUUGAUAAAAACCUUUAGCAUGGUGUUUUGUGACUUAGAAGUUUUAAGUAGUCGUUCUUAUAUCUAAGCAUUUAUUAAUUUUGGUAAGAACAUUACCAUAUGUUUCUGAUGUCACUUCUACUGUUAAGAGGUGCCAGGCAUCUGGCGGCCUGCCACUUCAGGAUUUGUGUGAAUCGGACGAUCUAAAUAUAGUAUAAAUUAGAGACCAGUACUUGUAUUUCCUGAUUAAAAACAAACUAACCUCUGUUUCACUAUUGAAGUAAGAGUACUUUACAAUGAACACAAAAAAUGUAUAUUAAAUAUCCAGUAGCGCAUGCUAAA